CUUGCCUUCUUCCAAAGAAAAGAAAAUCUCCAUGACUGCCCCCACUUGCGUUGAAGGCUAUAGAAUGCAGUGCAUCUGCCCUCAAAAUCUCGAGUGCUCCGCAGGCACCGACUCAGCACAGCCCAAAUAAAUAUAGGGACAAUAAACCAACCCCAACCAAAUUAUCAGCAUCACAGGUCUUCUUUAUCUCUGAUUCUUUAGAAGGGAGGCAUUACGUUUAAACCACCCUUCUCCUCUCCACACCUCUUUCUUCCCUUAUUCUUUGGCCUCCUGCUCUCCUUAAAAAAAAUAAACUAAAAAAAAGGGAGCCUCAGAUAUCACAUGUGCUGAUCUCACAUGUCAUUGUUCUCUGAAGUUUUGGGCUUUGGCUUGAAUAGUGGCAACUGGCAAGAACAAAUCCAACUGAGGUUGAAGGUUGAAGGUUGAAGGUUGAAAGUUGAAAGUCUAAUCUUCUCAACAGCAGUGGACGACCAGUUUCCUUGAGGACCUACUUUGCUUGCUUGUCUGCGGUAAGUUUCAGUUGGCCAAACCUUUGUCACAAAACAGCAUCACUAGUUGGGGAUACUGGGCCAUUGAAUUCAA